rnacentral:rRNA from 1 species
GAGUGAAAUCUUGUAAUCCUUGAAGGACCACCAGUGGCGAAGGCGUCUCACCAGAACGGACCUGACGGCAAGGGACGAAAGCUAGGGGCACGAACCGGAUUAGAUACCCGGGUAGUCCUAGCCGUAAACGAUACUCGCUAGGUGUCGGCCACGGUGCGACCGUUGUCGGUGCCGUAGGGAAGCCGUGAAGCGAGCCACCUGGGAAGUACGGCCGCAAGGCUGAAACUUAAAGGAAUUGGCGGGGGAGCACUACAACGGGUGGAGCUUGCGGUUUAAUUGGAUUCAACGCCGGG